rnacentral:rRNA from 1 species
CACGUAGGGGGCGAGCGUUGUCCGGAUUUAUUGGGCGUAAAGAGCUCGUAGGCGGCUCGGUAAGUCGGGUGUGAAACCUCCAGGCUCAACCUGGAGACGCCACCUGAUACUGCUGUGGCUAGAGUCCGGUAGGGGAGUGUGGAACUCCUGGUGUAGCGGUGAAAUGCGCAGAUAAUCAGGAAGAACACCAGCGGCGAAGGCGGCACGUCUGGGCCGGAACUGACGCUGAGGAGCGAAGCGUGGGUA